AUGUAAUGAUGAAGUUUUUACUUAAUAGAAGAAACCUUUUAUUUUUAGGACUUAUUUAUUGAUUGUUGUCGUGUGCUUCGCUAUUUUUUUCCAUAGCUUGGUCGAUGCGAAUAUUGUGGUCGGAUUGUCCUCCAUGCUGAACCACUUCCAUGGAUCAAGGCAUUGCCUAUCCGAGAGUGCAUUGAGGCCUUGGAGAGGGGGGUCCAUUUGGUUAGGAGGAAAGCUUUCG
rnacentral:lncRNA from 1 species